rnacentral:rRNA from 1 species
GUGUCAGCCGCCGCGGUAAUACGAGGGGUGCAAGCGUUGCUCGGAAUUAUUGGGCGUAAAGGGCAGGUAGGUGGUCUCGUUUGUCUGGGGUGAAAUCCUUGGGCUUAACCCAAGAAGUGCCCCGGAAACGGCGAGACUAGAGUACUGGAGAGGGUCGUGGAAUACCCGGUGUAGCGGUGAAAUGCGUAGAGAUCGGGUGGAACACCAGAGGCGAAGGCGGCGACCUGGACAGUAACUGACACUCAACUGCGAAAGCGUGGGGAGCAAACAGGAUUAGAUACCCUGGUAGUCCACGCUGUAAACGAUGGGUACUAGGCUUGGUGGGUCUUGACCCCCACUGAGCCGGAGCUAACGCACUAAGUACCCCGCCUGGGAAGUACGGUCGCAAGACUAAA